rnacentral:rRNA from 1 species
UAUCUCUGUAGAGUCUGCAUAUCAAUAAGCGGAGGAAAAGAAACUAACUAGGAUUCCCUCAGUAACGGCGAGUGAAGCGGGAAGAGCUCAAAUUUGAAAUCUUCAAGGUUCUACCUUGACGAAUUGUAGUUUAAAGAAGUGUUUUCUGUUGAGGUUUUGGUAAAAGUUCUUUGGAAUAGGACAUCAUAGAGGGUGAGAAUCCCGUAUUUGACCAUUAUUUCCAGCUUUGUGAUACACUUUCAAAGAGUCGGAUUGUUUGGGAAUGCAGGUCCAUAAUGGGUGGUAAAUUUCAUCUAAAGCUAAAUACUGGCGAGAGACCGAUAGCGAACAAGUACCGUGAGGGAAAGAUGAAAAGAACUUUGAAAAGAGAGUUAAACAGUACGUGAAAUUGUCAAAAGGGAAGCGUUUGACACCAGUGUUGUUUUCUCGAAAAUCAAUUAAAAAAGGCAGGAUUUUGUGUUGUAUUGACUUUAUCAGCUUUCUGCACUCUUUUCUUGUCUUUUUUAAUGCACUUUUCGUUUAACAAGUCAACAUCAAUUUCUUUUGUUGUAAAAGGGUCAUUGGAAGGUGGCUUUCUUUUCGGAGAAAGUGUUUAUAGCCUUUGACUUCUGCAAUCGGAGAGACUGAGGUCUGCAGCGUAGAUCCUUCUGGAUUAGAUUCAUUUGUGCUAAGUUACAACCGUUUAUAGACAACUUGUUGACUAUAUUCGAUCCUGUAGCUUACUCGCUUAUGUAAUUUUACCUACGCUUAGGAUGUUGACGAUCAGCUGAGCGCG